ACUACAGAAAAUGGUACAAAAAGUUCCAGACGUACCAUUAUUCUGAGUUUCUAAAACAGCACGGAGAGGCCUUUUAGCAGGAUUUUCUCCCUGCUUAAAGAAUGUGCACACUCACGCCAAGAGGAGAGAAGUGAGGGCAGGAGGCCAUCUUCCCUCUGAUGCAACAGUCUCUUUCUUUACUGCCGUCUUGAUAUUUGGCUCUUCAAACACCAGCAGCAUAAUGUCAGCUCUCGUUCUACAAUGAAAAAUGCUCCACCCGGAUUUCCAUUGUAAACAGGUCAGUCCCAUUGGUUUAUUCAUUCUUUGGACUCUUAAACAGCCAGCCUGAUGCUAAGCUCUAUAAAGAAGAAUAUAAGAAGGAUGCAAAGAAAACGAGAACGCCCCCCCCGGCAAUCUCCCACCUGCCUGUAACCAGCUGGACACUCUGACCACCUUCAGCUUCUCUCUGCUGGUCUGAUGUCACCUCUCCAGGAAGGACUCUGCAUGUGAUCUGAGACAGACCACCCCAGGGUAAGCACUCUCUCCCCACAUGCACCCCCAGCUCUGACAAGCUCUGGGCUUGCAGCCACAUGAGACAUGCCCAAUGCAUUCAC
rnacentral:lncRNA from 1 species